rnacentral:rRNA from 1 species
UACGUAGGGCGCGAGCGUUGUCCGGAAUUAUUGGGCGUAAAGAGCUCGUAGGCGGCCGGUUGCGUCUGCUGUGAAAUCCCGGGGCUUAACCCCGGGCGUGCAGUGGAUACGGGCCGGCUGGAGGCAGGCAGGGGAGAAUGGAAUUCCCGGUGUAGCGGUGAAAUGCGCAGAUAUCGGGAGGAACACCGGUGGCGAAGGCGGUUCUCUGGGACGGUACUGACGCUGAGACGCGAAAGCGUGGGGAGCGAACAGG